AUUGAACGCUGGCGGCAGGCCUAACACAUGCAAGUCGAGCGGGGUUUUCGGACCUAGCGGCGGACGGGUGAGUAAUGCGUAGGAAGCUGCCCGAUAGAGGGGGAUACCAGGUGGAAACGACUGUUAAUACCGCAUAAUGUCUACGGACCAAAGCGUGGGACCCUCGGGACACAUGUAAUCGGAGGCGCCGACGGGGGAUUAGCUAGUUGGUGAGGUACUGGAUCACCAAGGAGACGAUCUAUAGCUGGUUUGAGAGGAUGAUCAGCCACCCUGGAAGUGAGGCAGGGUCGGGACACAUACGGUAGGAGGCAGUGGGGAAUAUUGGACAAUGGGCGCAAGCCUGAUCCGACCAUGCGGCGCGUGUGAAGAAGGCCUUCGGGUUGUAAAGCAAUUUAAGUAGGGAGGAAGGGUGUUGUGUUAAUAGCACAGCAUUUUGACGUUACCUACAGAAGAAGCACCGGCUAACUCUGUGCCAGCCGCCGCCGUAAUAC
rnacentral:rRNA from 1 species